UUCUACACCCGAAAUAAUUGCCAAGCAAACCACAUAGGGUAAACUGUUGGAAUACAACCAGCGUGCUUCGGACAUUAGAAUCACCCUGUAUACGAUGCGCAAGCAUUGACUAGUCCGUGACAUUCACCGACAGCACGGUAACUCGACGUUGAAGAAACGGCUCUUAUCCGACGUUCAUCGGAUACGGUAGUUUAAACACAUGAACGCCUAUAUGGCCAAGGUCGGAUAUGGUUCAACCAUUUCUUUAGGAACUUUUUCGUAUGUACAUGUGCAACUGCAUCUGUUUUGCGCUCAACGAGGAAAUUAUUUUGUCGACGAAUUUUUUACCAUAAAAAAACGUCAUUUAAUAUGUAGUAAAUUAGUUUUUUAUUUAAUUAGAGAAAAGCUUCAAAGUGUGUGUUCACCCAUUUGGAUGCAUGUCUUGCCACACUUUUUUUUCUUUUUUCAUUAAAGUUCCUACACGUUCAAGAAUUGCCGGAUUUCCCUUUAUUUCUUGGCAAGAGAAGCUGGCAUAGCAAUCGGUACCGAAGCAGAUACUCGAGGUAACGGAAUUAAAUUUGUCUGAUGUCCUUUUAGAUCCAUUUGCUCCAUGUCCAUUUUGCUCAAUUCGAAGGAUCCAUCUGUAUUCGUCAAAAGUUGGGAUCAUCAAUUUUACCACACCCCGUAUAAUAGAGACUCGCGACCAUGAACAUGUUAACUUUUCGACAACGUAUUUUUACCGUGGCACCAAAUGGGCGCACGCCUUUAACACACUACGAGUUCCGUGUAUCGCGCAUGCCAGAGAUUAGAUAAAUUUUAUGUAAAAUUACAUAUCAACAUAAUUCGUUGGUCACACUUGACAAAUCGCAAUUACCAUGUACUAUACCAUCUACUAUGUUACUAAAAUCCACGUAAACCUAUCCAAAUUUAUUGUCUUUGCCACGAUACCGUCAGAAAAUUAUUGAAGAAACGAAGAAUCUACAUGGAAAAUGAUCCAGUAGCGAAACGAUUUCGAUUCGUAAAUUCGUCAGAGUUGAGAGUAUAUGCGUAUCCAGCGUCAAAUGGUCGAGGCCACCUCGUGCGUACGAUCCGUCGUUAAUCAUUCCACGCCCCUCGGUCCCAUUUCGACGACCAAGAACGAUCCUGGUAUAUACAACUCGAACACCCGGUAUUUCCGGCCGUGGCAGUCGUGCUGUUGCUAACUGGCGAGUGGGGCAGCAACGGUUCGAAGGACGCACAACUCGAGAAGACUCGGGCCAUGGUGUUGGUGCAUAUUCGACGUUACAAGAAGAAGAAGAAGAAGAAGAAGAAGAAGAAGGAGGCUCGCGUCAGCUGGGCCAGAAAGAGAGAAGCGAAAGCGCGGAUAGGAGAAGAAAAAGGUUUUGGGCCCUACGAACGAGGAUUAUGAUUGUUCAUCGAAUAGGUGAAAGGGUAUACUGUCGAGAGACAGAAUAUGGGAUCCUCGUAGGUUAAUUCUUCAACUUAGAAUUGAAUUAGAUAUCAGAGAAACGAAUGAAGAGUAAAAUACAUUCGCGCUUGUGUGUAUUUCAGUUGCAACCUUGGAGAUAAAAAAAAAAAAAACAAAAACAAAAGCACGCUCGAAACGUCCGUACACACCGUUUGAAAUUUAAGUCGAACGUAAACAUGUUUUGAAGAUUCUAAUGGAAUGUUUGUUUUAAAUUUGUAAGUAUUGUUUUUGAGUAGGUUUUGUGCCAAGUGGAAUUUUUCUGACUAAACUUUGGAUCGAGCCUCGAGUUUUUUCAAGUAUGGGAAGAGCCACGAUGAACUUUAUACCGGGGACGAAGAAACGUUGCGACAGUUGAAGUGCAAGGAAGCUAAACCGACGGAUAGAAGGAGAAGAGAAGACGAGAAUCUGGGGCCCGCGACGUCCUUGGGUCAGUAGUCCCUGCUCCGUUCACGGCCGUCUCGAUGUCCCCCCACCAUGGACGUGCGACGCAGGAAAGGUCCUCGCGCUCUGCUUUUCCUUUCCGUGCUAUUUCCCUUCGGUUUUUUUUAUUAGGGAUGAUUCGAAGAAAGUUUCCUACACCGAUAAGGUACAACCUCUAUUUACUAUUGUCGCAAAAAGGAGAAAUAAUUUGAUACGAAACAAAGAUUAUUGACUCUCAAACAAUCAAUAUUCUCAGAAAAUCGACCAAAGAUUCUAACGUGGAUCGAUUCACGGUGUCGGUCGAUUGUGAGUCACGUUGCGGCGAAACGAACCGUGUCCCGAUUUCCGUUUAAGGAGAGGAAAACCACGAAUGCCAGGCGGAUUAAUAGCAGAGUCUGUUUCGAGCCCGUUCGCUUGCAGAUUUCAGAUUUCCUUUAACCAAGAAUGCCGAGCACGCGAACCUUUCGAACAAUGAGGAGGCCCGCAGAUCCACUUGAGACAAACACUUAUCCCAGGGUGCCGAUCCAACAGACGAAACAUGCUUGGCAACAUGUGUUUUAAUAGGGAAAAAGGAUCAGAAGCAAAUGGCAGGACACCGCGUUUCCCGUUAGCAGGAACGAUGUGCUCGAGUCGACAGCAUGUCGACACGAAAGUUAAGAGGGUCUGGAAACGAGAGGAAAUCGACACCGUCUGGAAACAAAAGCCCCGGGCAAUUAACGCGUCGAUGAAGAUGUAUCUGCUUCCAAUAUACAAUUCCCCAGCUCUCUUGGACGCAUGGCAAGACGGAAUAUACGCGAGUUGCGAAUAACGCGGCGUGUCCCGAGCAAACGAGACGACGCGACGGGGCAUAUCCUCUUACGAAGUACGAAAAAGACCACGAAGGAUUGAUAAAGCGUGAAAGUCAGCCAUGGUCCGUCUCUACCCUCGUCCUCGUGGAGGAUGAUGCAACCCCCCCGUUUCAUUAGAAGAUGACUGCAGCGUUACGAUACACGAUUCUCGAGGAACAUUCGCGUGUGCAAAGGGAAGGAGGGCCCUCUCGAUUACACGCACCGCCUGUAUAAUCCGAUACGCAGACGAUGAUCGGCGAAUCAAAAACGAAGGCUAUCGAAAUUCUGGUUUCGCUAGAACAAGCUCGAUCCUCCCGACGGUAGAAGGCGCAAGGAUUUCAGGACCAGGACAGGGCCUCGUUGCGCGUAUCUUGGGACUCGAUGGCCCCCAAAACCGGUUCCGUCUGGAUUUCACGCGACAAGCGUUUCUUUUAUUUUUCCCUAUAUUUUUUUUCGUCGAGGAUCCAAAGGAAUACGACUUUGCGAAUGUAAGCCCCGUGUUGCAUUACGAUUACCAGGCCGUUAUCGUCCACGUCGUAAACAGUAAUUAUAAGUGUCCUCCAGAAUCAUAUUUAAUCCCUGCAUUAUUCUUCGGCUCUCUCUCUCUCUCUCUCUCUCACUCUCUCGAGCAAGGACUGCGGUUCCUUGAAAUCGGAAGAAAUCAAAGUGGAGUUUGAACUCGCUACGGUACUUGGGUAUUCGAACACUUUGGUGGGCUGAGCUCCUAUUAUCUGAGCUCACGCAACGUAGCGCUUAUGCGGAUUCGUCAACUCGAGCUAUACGAAUCAUUUAGUUAUCCGAACCUGCUUGUCCCGUGAUACGUUCAAAUAAAUAGAGUUCUACUUGUAAUAUAAUAUCAGUGCGCUACAUUAAUAGUACUCCCGACAGCACUUGGAUAAUACGUAGAAUAAGAAUCUCGUUAUACCUCGCGUUUCGAAUCAUCUCCGUGCUCCAUUGUUUUCGACACGGACCACCAUAGUUUUAUUUUACGCGGCCAUAAGCAACAGCUUAUAAAUUAAAAAGUUUCCGUUAGCUUUCCAAUUACAAAAAUUCAUACGUAUCGUAGAUAAAGUAACAAACAAAAAAAUGUGAUUAAAAUUAAAUUGUACGGACUCGAUACUUAACAACUUUGGAUACUAUAGAAAACAAAUUGUAUACGUUAGUUAUUUUUUGACUGGACAAGGCGGAAGCCCGUAUUAAUAUCGAAAUUUGUAAAUUCACCGACCGUGGAGGC